ACUCCUACGGGAGGCAGCAGUGGGAAUAUUGGACAAUGGGGAACCGUAGCAUCCAGCCAUGCCGCGUGUGUGAAGAAGGCCUUCGGGUUGUAAAGCACUUUCAGUGGGGAGGAAAGGAUUGAUGGUUAAUACCUAUCAGCUGUGACGUUACCCACAGAAGAAGCACCGGCUAACUCCGUGCCAGCAGCCGCGGUAAUACGGAGGGUGCAAGCGUUAAUCGGAAUUACUGGGCGUAAAGCGUGCGCAGGCGGUCUGUUAAGCGAGAUGUGAAAGCCCGGC
rnacentral:rRNA from 1 species